UUUCGAAUCAUUCACAAUGGGCGAAAGCCUGAUGGUGCGACGCCGCGUGAGGGAUGAAGGUCUUCGGAUUGUAAACCUCUGUCACUGGGGAGAAAACGCUUUGAGUUAAUAGUUCAAAGCCUGAUUUAACCCGGAGAGGAAGCAGUGGCUAACUCUGUGCCAGCAGCCGCGGUAAUACAGAGACUGCAAGCGUUAUUCGGAUUCACUGGGCGUAAAGGGUGCGCAGGCGGCCAUGUGUGUCAGGUGUGAAAUACCGGGGCUCAACCCCGGAACUGCGCCUGAAACUACGUGGCUAGAGUAUUGGAGAGGGUAGUGGAAUUCACGGUGUAGCAGUGAAAUGCGUAGAUAUCGUGAGGAACACCAGAGGCGAAGGCGACUACCUGGACAAUUACUGACGCUCAGGCACGAAAGCGUGGGGAGCCAAAGGG
rnacentral:rRNA from 1 species